GCCAGCAGCCAUAUCACCCUGCAGCUCCCAACUGGUUACCCACUGAAGCAGGGUUGAGCCUGGUCAGCACCUGGAUGGGAAACCCCCUGUGAAGCUAUGGUUGCUGCGAGAA
rnacentral:rRNA from 1 species